rnacentral:rRNA from 2 species
GUCGAGCGGACCAAAGGGAGCUUGCUCCUGGAGGUUAGCGGCGAACGGGUGAGUAACACGUGGGCAACCUGCCUGUAAGACUGGGAUAACAUCGAGAAAUCGGUGCUAAUACCGGAUAAUAAAAAGAACUGCAUGGUUCUUUUUUGAAAGAUGGUUUCGGCUAUCACUUACAGAUGGGCCCGCGGCGCAUUAGCUAGUUGGUGGGGUAACGGCUCACCAAGGCGACGAUGCGUAGCCGACCUGAGAGGGUGAUCGGCCACACUGGGACUGAGACACGGCCCAGACUCCUACGGGAGGCAGCAGUAGGGAAUCUUCCGCAAUGGACGAAAGUCUGACGGAGCAACGCCGCGUGAGUGAUGAAGGUUUUCGGAUCGUAAAACUCUGUUGUUAGGGAAGAACAAGUGCCGUUCGAAAGGGCGGCACCUUGACGGUACCUAACGAGAAAGCCACGGCUAACUACGUGCCAGCAGCCGCGGUAAUACGUAGGUGGCAAGCGUUGUCCGGAAUUAUUGGGCGUAAAGCGCGCGCAGGCGGUCUCUUAAGUCUGAUGUGAAAGCCCCCGGCUCAACCGGGGAGGGUCAUUGGAAACUGGGAGACUUGAGUACAGAAGAGGAGAGUGGAAUUCCACGUGUAGCGGUGAAAUGCGUAGAGAUGUGGAGGAACACCAGUGGCGAAGGCGACUCUCUGGUCUGUAACUGACGCUGAGGCGCGAAAGCGUGGGGAGCAACAGGAUUAGAUACCCUGGUAGUCCACGCCGUAAACGAUGAGUGCUAGGUGUUAGGGGUUUCGAUGCCCUUAGUGCCGAAGUUAACACAUUAAGCACUCCGCCUGGGGAGUACGACCGCAAGGUUGAAACUCAAAGGAAUUGACGGGGGCCCGCACAAGCAGUGGAGCAUGUGGUUUAAUUCGAAGCAACGCGAAGAACCUUACCAGUCUUGACAUCCUUUGACCACCCUAGAGAUAGGGCUUUCCCCUU